AAAAAAGGUAAGCUACUAAGAGCGAAUGGUGGAUGCCUUGACUGGUAGAGGCGAUGAAGGACGUACUAGACUGCGAUAAGCUACGGGGAGCUGUCAAGAAGCUUUGAUCCGUAGAUUUCCGAAUGGGGCAACCCAAUGUAUAGAGAUAUACAUUACCUAUAUAGGAGCGAACGAGGGGAAUUGAAACAUCUUAGUACCCUCAGGAAAAGAAAUCAAUAGAGAUUGCGUCAGUAGCGGCGAGCGAAAGCGCAAGAGGGCAAACCCAGUGCUUGCACUGGGGGUUGUAGGACUGCAAUGUGCAAGAGGUAAGUUUAGCAGAACAUUCUGGAAAGUAUAACCAUAGAGGGUGAUAGUCCCGUAUGCGAAAAACAAACCUUAGCUAGCAGUAUCCUGAGUAGGGCGGGACACGAGGAAUCCUGUCUGAAUCCGGGUCGACCACGAUCCAACCCUAAAUACUAAUACCAGAUCGAUAGUGCACAAGUACCGUGAGGGAAAGGUGAAAAGAACUGAGGUGAUCAGAGUGAAAUAGAACCUGAAACCAUUUGCUUACAAUCAUUCAGAGCACUAUGUAGCAAUACAGUGUGAUGGACUGCCUUUUGCAUAAUGAGCCUGCGAGUUGUGGUGUCUGGCAAGGUUAAGCAAACGCGAAGCCGUAGCGAAAGCGAGUCUGAAUAGGGCGCUUAGUCAGAUGCUGCAGACCCGAAACGAAGUGAUCUAUCCAUGAGCAAGUUGAAGCUAGUGUAAGAACUAGUGGAGGACUGAACCCAUAGGCGUUGAAAAGCCCCGGGAUGACUUGUGGAUAGGGGUGAAAGGCCAAUCAAACUUCGUGAUAGCUGGUUCUCUCCGAAAUAUAUUUAGGUAUAGCGUUGUGUCGUAAUAUAAGGGGGUAGAGCACUGAAUGGGCUAGGGCAUACACCAAUGUACCAAACCCUAUCAAACUCCGAAUACCUUAUAUGUAAUCACAGCAGUCAGGCGGCGAGUGAUAAAAUCCGUCGUCAAGAGGGAAACAACCCAGACUACCAGCUAAGGUCCCUAAAUCUUACUUAAGUGGAAAACGAUGUGAAGUUACUUAAACAACCAGGAGGUUGGCUUAGAAGCAGCCAUCCUUUAAAGAAAGCGUAAUAGCUCACUGGUCUAGUGAUUUUGCGCGGAAAAUAUAACGGGGCUAAAGUAAGUACCGAAGCUGUAGACUUGCACACAACUUAGAUUAUUUAAGUUUAGAAUAUGAGAAACUAAGUUAUAUGUUUAGUUAUAUUUUUACUGAUUUUUAUAGAGUAAAGAUAGAAAUAAAACUUAGUAAAAUCAGUAAAAAUAUUCUUAGACUAAAGUUAAGUAGUUUAAGUUGUGUGCAAGUGGUAGGAGAGCGUUCUAUUUGCGUCGAAGGUAUACCGGUAAGGAGUGCUGGAGCGAAUAGAAGUGAGCAUGCAGGCAUGAGUAGCGAUAAUUAAUGUGAGAAUCAUUAACGCCGUAAACCCAAGGUUUCCUACGCGAUGCUCGUCAUCGUAGGGUUAGUCGGGUCCUAAGUCGAGUCCGAAAGGGGUAGACGAUGGCAAAUUGGUUAAUAUUCCAAUACCAACAUUAGUGUGCGAUGGAAGGACGCUUAGGGCUAAGGGGGCUAGCGGAUGGAAGUGCUAGUCUAAGGUCGUAGGAGGUUGUACAGGCAAAUCCGUAUAACAAUACUCCGAGAACUGAAAGGCUUUUUGAAGUCUUCGGAUGGAUAGAAGAACCCCUGAUGCCGUCGAGCCAAGAAAAGUUUCUAAGUUUAGCUAAUGUUGCCCGUACCGUAAACCGACACAGGUGGGUGGGAUGAGUAUUCUAAGGCGCGUGGAAGAACUCUCUUUAAGGAACUCUGCAAAAUAGCACCGUAUCUUCGGUAUAAGGUGUGGUUAGCUUUGUAUUAGGAUUUACUCC
rnacentral:rRNA from 1 species